rnacentral:rRNA from 1 species
UGGGGAAUAUUGCACAAUGGGCGCAAGCCUGAUGCAGCCAUGCCGCGUGUAUGAAGAAGGCCUUCGGGUUGUAAAGUACUUUCAGCGGGGAGGAAGGCGAUAAGGUUAAUAACCUUGUCGAUUGACGUUACCCGCAGAAGAAGUACCGGCUAACUCCGUGCCAGCAGCCGCGGUAAUACGGAGGGUGCAAGCGUUAAUCGGAAUUACUGGGCGUAAAGCGCACGCAGGCGGUCUGUCAAGUCGGAUGUGAAAUCCCCGGGCUCAACCUGGGAACUGCAUUCGAAACUGGCAGGCUAGAGUCUUGUAGAGGGGGGUAGAAUUCCAGGUGUAGCGGUGAAAUGCGUAGAGAUCUGGAGGAAUACCGGUGGCGAAGGCGGCCCCCUGGACAAAGACUGACGCUCAGGUGUGAAAGCGUGGGGAGCAAACA